rnacentral:tRNA from 1 species
UGAGCCUCACUCUUCAGCCAAGCGAGGCCCUGGGACACUUCCCUUCCACAGAGGAUAUAAUUUUUUUUUGUUAGGAUAGUCAAAUAGUCUUAGAGAUACAUCUGAUAAGGCCACAUCACUUCACACCAUCUUGAGCUGCCUGCAUUUCAGGCUGGUGCCAGGUAUUACUGCGAGGCUAAAGGAGACCCAGUGAGACUCAGGCUCCCUGCACCCAUACAAGGUUUUCACGCAGCUACUGGUGGCUCAGCGGUAAAGAAUCCACCCGCCAAUGCAAGAGACCUGGGUUCGAUCCCUGGUUGGGGGAGCAUUCCCUGGAGAAGGAAAUGGAAACCUACUCCAGUAUUCUUGCCUAGGAAAUCCCAUGGACAGUACGAACCUGGCAGGCUACAGUUCACUAGGUUGCAAAAGAGAAGGACACGACUUAGCGACUCAACAACAGCAGCAACUACAGUAGAAGCAAGCCGGUAUAAAAGGUUUGUACCGUCGACACUGCACUUGGAGGUAAGGGGGGGUGGCGAGAGGCAGUGUGGUUCAGAAAUACAGCAUUUUCUCUCACGUCAGUUUUACCGUUUGAGUUCUACUGACUUGUGGUGUUGCUACACUUUAUCUUUAAAAUGUUUUAGACGUGUGUUUGGAAGCCUGGUGUGCUGCAGCCCAUGGGGUCCCAAAGACACAGACACCACUUAGCGACUGAACAACAACAGCAGGUGCUUUGUGUGUGUUAGUCACUCAGUCGUGUCUGACUCUGCGACCCCAGGGAGUGUAACCCACCAGGCUCCUCUGUCCAUGGGGUUUCCCAGACAAGGACACUGGAGUGGGUUGCCAUUCCCUUCUCCAGGGGAUCUUCCUGACCUAGGGAUCAAACCCAGAUCUCCUGCAUUGCAGGCAGAUUCUUUCCCAUCUGAGCCAUCAGGAAAGUCUUAAAUUAUUUACUGUUUAUCAUUGUGUAUAUUUAUGUGUUAUUCUAGAAAAUGAAGCAAUCCCCUGUGGGGGGGGAGCACAUUUUCCCUUUAAAAG